AAACCAGCACCUCAAGUGGUCAGGAUGAUUAUUGGGCCUAAAGCAUCCGUAGCCGGCUCUGUAAGUUUUCGGUUAAAUCUGUACGCUUAACGUACAGGCUGCCGGGAAUACUGCAGAGCUAGGGAGUGGGAGAGGUAGACGGUACUCGGGAGGAAGUGGUAAAAUGCUUUGAUCUCUCGAUGACCACCUGUGGCGAAGGCGGUCUACCAGAACACGUCCGACGGUGAGGGAUGAAAGCUGGGGGAGCAAACCGGAUUAGAAACCCUUGUAGUCC
rnacentral:rRNA from 1 species